rnacentral:misc_RNA from 1 species
UUUCCGGCAAAAAAUUCUGGAAAGCGUGCGAAUAUUAAUAAUAAUACAAAUCAGUAAAUUAAAGGGAAAAGAAAUACUUUUAAAGAGGGAGGGUUGAAGACCAAGCAGAUAAACCGUCACUAAGGAUGGCGAAGUGGGGAGAAGGGGAUCCACGCUGGAUUGUGGAAGAAAGACCCGAUGGAACUAACGUCAACAAUUGGCACUGGGUUGAAAAAAAUGCCACAAAUUGGUCAAAAGACAGGCUGAAAGAAUUGCUAACUGGUGUCGUAGUUGAAGAUGAUAAAUUUUUUUGUGAACUUAAGGAGGUAACAAGUAUUGAAGGCGAGGCAUCAGCAAACAACAGAAAAGCCAAAUUAAUAUUUUUCUACGAAUUUGUUAUUAAAGGAGAAUGGUCAGGUAAGUUAAAAGACGGAGACAAGAAAAUUAAAGGGAAAUUUGAAAUACCAAACCUCAGUGAAGAAAAUGAUGCAGAUGAAAUUGAUGUAAGUAAAAUUGGCUGUUAUUUUACAUAUAAGAUACUGUAUACAGAGUUAUUUUCGACCUGUGUAAUUAUUGCCCUUCUACACUUAGUUUUGCCCCAUCUUGAAUUUGCCCAGACACAGUUAGUCAGUUACGUUAUAGAGAUAAUUUGAGACACUGGAAUUUGCCCAGUCUUAAAUUCGCCAACUGACAUCGAGGAAGAAAGGUGUGAAAAUAAACGUGGCGAACAUUUCCCUGAUUAGAGUAGACCAUUGUAUAUAAUUUGUUCCAGUGAUGUGCAGUGUACUGUAUGUGUUAAUUUGCAUUUCUUGUUUUUUUCCCUAUAGUUCAAUGUUACAGUAUCCAAGGACUCUGAUGAGGCAUAUAAACUAAAAGAAUUCCUAAGGAAGACUGGAUUAGGUGUUAUAAGACAGAAGAUGGCAGAAUAUUUAAAUGAUUUAAAAAAUGAAUAUAGCAAAGGUGUGAUCUUGCCAACCAAAGGAGCACAACAGCAACAACAAACCCAAGCUCAAACCAACUCCGCCACAAAUAAAGCUAGAGAAGAAAUGAACAAACUGGUCAUCGAUUCCAAAGCAUCCAAACCAUUAGGUGUGAAAAUUCACACCAAGAAAAUUGUUGGGAAGGAAGAGUUUAAAUGCAGGGCGGAGGAUCUAUAUAGGGCACUGACUGAUGUUAAGCUGGUUCAAGCAUUUUCAGCCAGCCCUGCAGAGAUGGAAGUAGAAAAAGGAGGUCGUUUCUCCCUUCUCCAUGGAAACAUAACAGGAGAAUUUGUAGAAUUGAUACCCAAUCAGAAACUUGUUCAACGCUGGAGAGUGAAAUCCUGGCCGGAUGCACAUUAUUCUACUGUGACUUUUGAAUUCGACGAGAAAGACGAUUGUACUGUGCUUAAUUAUACCCAGACUGGUGUUCCAGACUCGGAGUACGAGAAAACGAAAGAGGGCUGGAUAAUCAAUUACUGGAACCGAAUGAAACAAGUGCUUGGAUUUGGCUCAAGUAUUUUUUGACGAAGGUGGAAGGAAUUAUUCUUCAGAGUUACAAAGAUUAUUUUCAGAUUCAGGUCUUGAUUGUCAAUAAGUUAGGGAAGAAGUGGACCAGUGUAGAAGAAAGGGAAAGAAAAGGAAUUUUUUUAUCCAUCUUACAACAGGUCCAAUUUUUACCAUCUAGCUGUGACACAAUUUCAUAGUUUUGGCAAUGUGUAAUUUUUUUUAUCAUGGUAAAUUGAUAUUUUUAAAUUAUGUAAAGUAAUGCAAAUAUACAUUAAACCUU